rnacentral:rRNA from 1 species
AACGAACGCUGGCGGCAUGCCUAACACAUGCAAGUCGAACGAGACCUUCGGGUCUUGUGGCGCACGGGUGCGUAACGCGUGGGAACCUGCCCUUAGGUUCGGAAUAACUCCCCGAAAGGGGUGCUAAUACCGGAUAAUGUCUACGGACCAAAGAUUUAUCGCCUUUGGAUGGGCCCGCGUUGGAUUAGCUAGUUGGUAGGGUAAAAGCCUACCAAGGCGACGAUCCAUAGCUGGUCUGAGAGGAUGAUCAGCCACACUGGGACUGAGACACGGCCCAGACUCCUACGGGAGGCAGCAGUGGGGAAUAUUGGACAAUGGGCGAAAGCCUGAUCCAGCAAUGCCGGGUGAGUGAUGAAGGCCUUAGGGUUGUAAAGCUCUUUUACCCGGGAAGAUAAUGACAGUACCGGGAGAAUAAGCGCCGGCUAACUCCGUG